rnacentral:tRNA from 13 species
CGGGGUGUAGCGCAGUUUGGUAGCGCAUCUGGUUUGGGACCAGAGGGCCGCGGGUUCAAAUCCUGCCACCCCGACCA